UUCCGGUUGAUCCUGCCGGACCUGACUGCUAUCGGAUUGAUACUAAGCCAUGCGAGUCUUUGUAGUAAUACAAGGCAUACGGCUCAGUAACGCGUAGUCAACCUACCCUAUGGACAAGAAUAAUCUCGGGAAACUGAGCAUAAUUCUUGAUAGAUCAUAAUGCCUGGAAUGGUUUAUGGUUAAAAUGAUUCGUCGCCAUAGGAUGGGACUGCGGCCUAUCAGCUUGUUGGUGAGGUAAUGGCCCACCAAGGCGAUUACAGGUACGGGCUCUGAGAGGAGAAGCCCGGAGAUGGGUACUGAGACAAGGACCCAGGCCCUAUGGGGCGCAGCAGGCGAGAAAACUUUGCAAUGUGCGAAAGCACGACAAGGUUAGUCCGAGUGAUUUCUGCUAAAGAGAUCUUUUGCUAGUUAUAAAACCACUAGUGAAUAAGGGGUGGGCAAGUUCUGGUGUCAGCCGCCGCGGUAAAACCAGCACCUCAAGUGGUCAGGAUGAUUAUUGGGCCUAAAGCAUCCGUAGCCGGCUCUGUAAGUUUUCGGUUAAAUCCAUACGCUCAACGUAUGGGCUGCCGAAAAUACUGCAGAGAUAGGGAGUGGGAGAGGUAGACGGUACUCGGUAGGAAGGGGUAAAAUCCUUUGAUCUAUCGAUGACCACCUGUGGCGAAGGCGGUCUACCAGAACACGUUCGACGGUGAGGGAUGAAAGCUGGGGGAGCAAACCGGAUUAGAUACCCGGGUAGUCCCAGCUGUAAACGAUGCAGACUCGAUGAUGCAUUGGCAUAUAGCCAGUGCAGUGUCGCAGGGAAGCCGUUAAGUCUGCCGCCUGGGAAGUACGUACGCAAGUAUGAAACUUAAAGGAAUUGGCGGGGGAGCACCACAAGGGGUGAAGCCUGCGGUUCAAUUGGAGUCAACGCCGG
rnacentral:rRNA from 1 species